UACGUAGGGUGCGAGCGUUGUCCGGAAUUAUUGGGCGUAAAGAGCUUGUAGGCGGUUUGUCGCGUCUGCUGUGAAAAUCCGGGGCUCAACCCCGGACUUGCAGUGGGUACGGGCAGACUAGAGUGUGGUAGGGGAGACUGGAAUUCCUGGUGUAGCGGUGAAAUGCGCAGAUAUCAGGAGGAACACCGAUGGCGAAGGCAGGUCUCUGGGCCACUACUGACGCUGAGAAGCGAAAGCAUGGGGAGCGAAUGGG
rnacentral:rRNA from 1 species